GACGAACGCUGGCGGCGUGCUUAACACAUGCAAGUCGAACGGAAAGGCCCUGCUUUUGUGGGGUGCUCGAGUGGCGAACGGGUGAGUAACACGUGAGUAACCUGCCCUUGACUUUGGGAUAACUUCAGGAAACUGGGGCUAAUACCGGAUAGGAGCUCCUGCUGCAUGGUGGGGGUUGGAAAGUUUCGGCGGUUGGGGAUGGACUCGCGGCUUAUCAGCUUGUUGGUGGGGUAGUGGCUUACCAAGGCUUUGACGGGUAGCCGGCCUGAGAGGGUGACCGGCCACAUUGGGACUGAGGUACGGCCCAGACUCCUACGGGAGGCAGCAGUGGGGAAUAUUGCACAAUGGGCGGAAGCCUGAUGCAGCAACGCCGCGUGCGGGAUGACGGCCUUCGGGUUGUAAACCGCUUUCGCCUGUGACGAAGCGUGAGUGACGGUACUGGGUAAAGAAGCACCGGCUAACUACGUG
rnacentral:rRNA from 1 species